UAUUUACAGUCAAGGUAUUUAUUGCCUAUAUAGUAUAAGUGGCAACCAAAUUUUGCUUCCGGCUAAAAAUGACAACUCCGCAUUUGCGAUUUAUCACAGGGUAAUGUCAUCUCUACACCAGCAUUACAAGAUACCAUCUUGCCGGGAAUCACAAGAAAGAGCAUAAUUGAUAUUGCUCUCAGCUUCAAAAACCAGCUGUGGGUGCCACUCCCGUUGGCAGUGUAACCUAUCAGAGCGAAAGGUGCGAGUACAAAACCGGAGACGACACCGUGACCGAAAGGCUUCGCACAAAGCUUGCAGCAAUUCAUACCGGUACAGCCGAAGACGAGUUUGGGUGGACUUCAACACUUAACCAAGCUUAACAUAUAUUCUCUACUGCCUAUGAAAAUGUAGAAAUCAGCUAGCUGAUAUGUACUAGAGAAGCAACUAAUAGUUCAGAGGCACCAGAGAUAUCUUCUCUGCUGUUUGCUUGCAUUGACAUGGGAAAGUUGAAUAGUUCCUUUUUCUUAUCUUUCUCGUCUUUACACAGAGACACAGUACGAGAGGAUUUCGAUAGCUGUUUCAUCCAAGACUGCGUGGCAAAACAAUUUAUACUUGGA